AUGGUUUUUAAGUUGGGUUUCAGGAAAGCAUUUGAUUCCAUAUGCUGGUCCUCCCUCAUUCAAAUUCUAAUAGCCCGUGGCUUCCCUUCCAUCUUCUGCGCUUGGGUCCAAAAUAUCCUCUCCACUGGAAAAACGGCUAUUCUUUUGAAUGGUGUUCCAGGGCCAUGGAUU
rnacentral:rRNA from 1 species